rnacentral:misc_RNA from 1 species
GAUGAAGAACGCAGUGAAAUGCGAUAAGUAAUGUGAAUUGCAGAAUUCAGUGAAUCAUCGAAUCUUUGAACGCACAUUGCGCCCCUUGGUAUUCCGAGGGGCAUGCCUGUUCGAGCGUCAUUAUAACCCCUCAAGCUCAGCUUGGUGUUGGGGCCUGCUGCACUGGCAGCCCUUAAAAUCAGUGGCGGCGCCAUCUGGCUCUAAGCGUAGUAAUUCUUCUCGCUAUGGAGUCCUGGUGGAUGCUUGCCAUCAACCCCCAAUUUUUCUAUGGUUGACCUCGGAUCAGGUAGGGAUACCCGCUGAACUUACGCAUAUCAAUAAGCGGAGGA